rnacentral:rRNA from 1 species
GAGCGGUAGAGAGAAGCUUGCUUCUCUUGAGAGCGGCGGACGGGUGAGUAAUGCCUAGGAAUCUGCCUGGUAGUGGGGGAUAACGUUCGGAAACGGACGCUAAUACCGCAUACGUCCUACGGGAGAAAGCAGGGGACCUUCGGGCCUUGCGCUAUCAGAUGAGCCUAGGUCGGAUUAGCUAGUUGGUGAGGUAAUGGCUCACCAAGGCGACGAUCCGUAACUGGUCUGAGAGGAUGAUCAGUCACACUGGAACUGAGACACGGUCCAGACUCCUACGGGAGGCAGCAGUGGGGAAUAUUGGACAAUGGGCGAAAGCCUGAUCCAGCCAUGCCGCGUGUGUGAAGAAGGUCUUCGGAUUGUAAAGCACUUUAAGUUGGGAGGAAGGGCAGUUACCUAAUACGUGAUUGUUUUGACGUUACCGACAGAAUAAGCACCGGCUAACUCUGUGCCAGCAGCCGCGGUAAUACAGAGGGUGCAAGCGUUAAUCGGAAUUACUGGGCGUAAAGCGCGCGUAGGUGGUUAGUUAAGUUGGAUGUGAAAUCCCCGGGCUCAACCUGGGAACUGCAUUCAAAACUGACUGACUAGAGUAUGGUAGAGGGUGGUGGAAUUUCCUGUGUAGCGGUGAAAUGCGUAGAUAUAGGAAGGAACACCAGUGGCGAAGGCGACCACCUGGACUGAUACUGACACUGAGGUGCGAAAGCGUGGGGAGCAAACAGGAUUAGAUACCCUGGUAGUCCACGCCGUAAACGAUGUCAACUAGCCGUUGGGAGCCUUGAGCUCUUAGUGGCGCAGCUAACGCAUUAAGUUGACCGCCUGGGGAGUACGGC